rnacentral:tRNA from 1 species
CAUUGGCUGAGCGGUAAAGCACUUGGCUUCCAAACUGGAGGUCCGGGGUUCGAAACCCUCAUG